CACGUAGGGCGCAAGCGUUGUCCGGAAUUAUUGGGCGUAAAGAGCUCGUAGGCGGUCUGUUGCGUCCGCUGUGAAAACUCGGGGCUUAACCCCGAGCCUGCAGUGGAUACGGGCAGACUAGAGGUAGGUAGGGGAGAAUGGAAUUCCCGGUGUAGCGGUGAAAAUGCGCAGAUAUCGGGGAGGAACACCGGUGGCGAAGGCGGUUCUCUGGGCC
rnacentral:rRNA from 1 species